GCCUAUGGCCAUGCCACCCUGAACACACCCAAUCUUGUCUGAUCUCGGAAGCUAAGCAGGGUCGAGCCUGGUUAGUACUUGGAAGGGAGACCACCUAGGAAGACGGGGUGCUGUAGGCG
rnacentral:rRNA from 1 species